rnacentral:rRNA from 1 species
UACGAAGGGGGCUAGCGUUGUUCGGAAUUACUGGGCGUAAAGCGCACGUAGGCGGGUUGUUAAGUCAGGGGUGAAAUCCUGGAGCUCAACUCCAGAACUGCCUUUGAUACUGGCAACCUAGAGACUGGAAGAGGUUAGUGGAAUUCCCAGUGUAGAGGUGAAAUUCGUAGAUAUUCGCAAGAACACCAGUGGCGAAGGCGGCUCACUGGCUCGAUACUGACGCUGAGGUGCGAAAGCGUGGGGAGCAAACAGG